rnacentral:rRNA from 1 species
UACAGAGGUCUCAAGCGUUGUUCGGAUUCACUGGGUUUAAAGGGUGCGUAGGUGGGCAGGUAAGCCAGUGGUGAAAUCUCCGGGCUUAACUCGGAAACUGCCAUUGAUACUAUCUGUCUUGAAUACCGUGGAGGUCAGCGGAAUAUGUCAUGUAGCGGUGAAAUGCUUAGAUAUGACAUAGAACACCAAUUGCGAAGGCAGCUGGCUACACGAAUAUUGACACUGAUGCACGAAAGCGUGGGGAUCAAACAGG